UGUGUUUUCAACCAAUUGGUGAAUAGACAAAGUGGCGUUGUAAGGUUCAACUACGGUAUCAGACACCUUCGGAGAUGGCACAACCGAUGAGGAUAAGAAAAAUCGUUCAAAAUAACAUAAAGAAACACCGAUAAACCAUGGGACGUGGAAUAAAGUUCUAACUACUCAAUGAAAAGAUUCCGGACAGACUUGGAAGAUGUUUACGUCUAAAAAGUUAAAUUCCUUCAAAUAUUGGAGCACUUCAUUUCAUGAUUCACAAAGAAUGUAAUGUAAUCAAAGUGUACUAAAAUUAAGAGUGCCGAAGAAGUUAUAGUUCAAUUAAAUUGAGUUUAAGAUCAAUUUUAUUAAUUCUACAUCUUGUAUUGGAUCAUAUACAAGCGUACUAAAAUUUGGGAUUGCCAAAGAAGUUAUGGUUCAAUUAAAUCGAGUUUAAGACCAACUUUAUUAAUUCUACAUAUUGUAUUGGAUCAUUUACAAGUUUCAUCCCUGCCGUUGCCAUGGUGAUCUAUCAACAAGCACCGACAUCUUUAAAAAAAUCACUGGUUUUAUCAAAAGAACGUUGUUUUAUGAUAAUUAUCACGAUUAUUAGGAGUUAUGGUUCAAUUAAAUCGAGUUUAAGAUCAAUUUUAUCAAUUCUACAUCUCGUAUUGGAUCAUUUACAACGAUUCAUAAGAAGUUUUUCAAAAGAGAUUCAUAAGAAGUUACAAGAAGUCAAGAUCAAGAUUAUUCCAUAAAUAAUGAAGACGAUUAAUUUAAUUAAAAACACCAAUUUUACUCAAAAAUUGAAAUGGAAUCAUGCUGAAUCGAUGGGUGAAUAAAAUAGCAAUUGUAACUGGAGCUAGUUCAGGAAUUGGAGCCGCGAUAGCUCAAAAAUUAGUUCAAGGAGGAUUAAUUGUAACGAAAAUCUUGGAUUAACUCAUUUAAUUUGACCAAACCACUUUUAAUUAGGUCGUUGGAAUCGCAAGGAGAGUGGAAUUGAUCCAAACGAUCUCGGAGCAGUUAAAAAAUGCGAAAGGGAACCUUAUUCCGUUUAAAGCGGAUGUCACAAAAGAAAAAGAUAUCCUCGCCCUCUUUGAAUUUGUCAAAACUAAAUUAGGACCGGUUCACGUUUUGAUUAAUAACGCGGGGAUUACACGAAACACAAACCUUUCCGAUGGGGAUACUUCUAAGUG
rnacentral:misc_RNA from 1 species